GAUGAAGAACGUAGCAAAAUGCGAUAAGUAAUGUGAAUUGCAGAAUUCAGUGAAUCAUCGAAUCUUUGAACGCACAUUGCGCCAGCUGGUACUCCGGCGGGCAUGCCUGUUCGAGCGUCAUUUCAACCCUCAAGCCCCCGGGUUUGGUGUUGGGGAUCGGCUCUGCCUUCUGGCGGUGCCGCCCCCGAAAUACAUUGGCGGUCUCGCUGCAGCCUCCAUUGCGUAGUAGCUAACACCUCGCAACUGGAACGCGGCGCGGCCAUGCCGUAAAACCCCAACUUCUGAAUGUUGACCUCGGAUCAGGUAGGAAUACCCGCUGAACUUAAGCAUAUCAAUAAGCGGAGGA
rnacentral:misc_RNA from 1 species